CCUACGGGGGGCAGCAGUGGGGAAUAUUGGACAAUGGGGGCAACCCUGAUCCAGCCAUGCCGCGUGUGUGAAGAAGGCCCUCGGGUUGUAAAGCACUUUCAGUGAGGAAGAACGCCUGGUGGUUAAUACCCAUCAGGAAAGACAUCACUCACAGAAGAAGCACCGGCUAACUCCGUGCCAGCAGCCGCGGUAAUACGGAGGGUGCGAGCGUUAAUCGGAAUUACUGGGCGUAAAGCGCGCGUAGGUGGCUUGAUAAGCCGGUUGUGAAGGCCCCGGGCUCAACCUGGGAACGGCAUCCGGAACUGUCAAGCUAGAGUGCAGGAGAGGAAGGUAGAAUUCCCGGUGUAGCGGUGAAAUGCGUAGAGAUCGGGAGGAAUACCAGUGGCGAAGGCGGCCUUCUGGACUGACACUGACACUGAGGUGCGAAAGCGUGGGUAGCAAACAGGAUUAGAUACCCCAGUAGUC
rnacentral:rRNA from 1 species